rnacentral:rRNA from 1 species
AUUCCAGCUCCAAUAGCGUAUAUUAAAGUUGUUGCAGUUAAAAAGCUCGUAGUUGGAUUUCUGGUCUGAUGCCCUGGCCCGCGUCCGAUUUCGGAGUGAGUGCCGGCUGUGCGUCUACCAUCCUUCUAGAAAACGGAUCUACCCUUCACUGGGCCGGGUUCGCGAUCUAGAUCUUUUACUUUGAAAAAAUUAGAGUGUUUAAAGCAGGCUUUUGCUAUGAAUACAUUAGCAUGGAAUAAUAAUCUAGGACUUCGGUUCUAUUUUGUUGGUUUCUAGUACUGAAGUAAUGAUUGAUAGGGAUAGUUGGGGGUGCUAGUAUUGAGCGGCCAGAGGUGAAAUUCUUGGAUUCGCUCAAGACUAACUUAUGCGAAAGCAUUCACCAAGGAUGUCUUCAUCG